CUCGAAAGAAUACGGAACAGUCUGCAAUCGCGGUACUUCGAUACCCGCGCAGCGCUACAGGCCAAACACACGUGUGUUGUUCUGUCAUGAUUGUCCGAUGAAUUUGAGCCUGGGCUUCGAAAGACCACAAGACGUCGGUUCGACACUGUUCACCUUCUGCUACUGUGUGCACCCAGAUAGUACAAGAAGUAUCUCUUGGAGAAAAAAGACAUUCCACGAACUACACAGCAUCGCUGGAGAAGGUUAUAAUGUUCAGUUUUAUCAAGAUUAUACCCAGUGCGGAUAGCAGAGGGACUCGAUGGGUCUGUGGCAGCAAGACUCAGCUUUGUUUGACAUGCGUAUCAAGCAUGUGAGCGAUACUGUGCAGCAGAACCAGCCUUCAGAAGACCAGAAUCCAGUUGUGAUCAUCAGCCCUGUAGAGACAUCCAG